AGAUUGAACGCUGGCGGCAUGCCUAACACAUGCAAGUCGAACGGGAGUAGCAAUACUCUAGUGGCGGACGGGUGAGGAAUACGUAGGAAUUUGCCCUUAAGUGGGGGAUAACCCGGGGAAACCCGGAUUAAUACCGCAUGACCUCGAAAGAGCAAAGUGGGGGAUCGCAAGACCUCACGCUUUUGGAGAAGCCUACGUCGGAUUAGCUAGUUGGUGAGGUAAUGGCUCACCAAGGCGACGAUCCGUAACUGGUCUGAGAGGAUGAUCAGUCACACCGGAACUGAGACACGGUCCGGACUCCUACGGGAGCAGCAGUGGGGAAUAUUGGACAAUGGGCNCAAGCCUGAUCCAGCAAUGCCGCGUG
rnacentral:rRNA from 1 species